rnacentral:lncRNA from 1 species
CCUAAUUUCUCAUCUCCAGGUGUUCCAUGAUGCUUAUUUUACAAUUAAGAAAAUAGAGGACAGAAAGUGGCUUCAGGAAGGUCAGGUGACUUGAUAGCAGCGACAAGGGCCAAACUCAGACAGCUUAUUACUGGAGCUCCUUUACCCACAGGACUCCCAUACCUUCUGGAGCAGAAUGUCACUAGGUUACUGGAAGCUCAGUCUGCCCCAACAUUUCCCUAUUUACUGGAGACCUCAAAAACUUGUCAUUGACCUUCCCAUGACCUGGAUAAAAAUCUCUCAACCUGUCCCUGCCUGUCAUGUAGGCAAACUGAAGGGAAAAUGGCAUGGAUAG